rnacentral:misc_RNA from 1 species
GAUGAAGAACGUAGCGAAAUGCGAUAAGUAAUGUGAAUUGCAGAAUUCAGUGAAUCAUCGAAUCUUUGAACGCACCUUGCACCCUUUGGCAUUCCGAAGGGUAUGCUCGUUUGAGUGUCAUUGUACUCUCACACUCCCGAUCUUUGGAUUGGGAGCGGUGGACUUGGGUUUGCUGCUUGCCGUGGCUCACCUCAAAUGGAUUAGUGCAACUCUUGGUUGGACAUAGUACGGCGUGAUAAGUGUCUUCGCCGGCACCUCGCAAGAGGGUGGCCGAUCGGGAGCUCUGUGCUUUCAAACCGUCUUCGGACAAUUUCUGACAACUUGACCUCAAAUCGAGUAGGACUACCCGCUGAACUUAAGCAUAUCAAUAAGCGGAGGA